UACGUAGGGGGCAAGCGUUGUCCGGAAUCAUUGGGCGUAAAGCGCGUGUAGGCGGCUCGAUAAGUCUGCUGUGAAAGUUCAGGGCACAACCCUGAAAUGCCGGUGGAAACUGUCGAGCUAGAGUACGGAAGAGGUGAGUGGAAUUCCUGGUGUAGCGGUGAAAUGCGCAGAUAUCAGGAGGAACACCAAUGGCGAAGGCAGCUCACUGGGACGUUACUGACGCUGAGACGCGAAAGCGUGGGGAGCAAACAGG
rnacentral:rRNA from 1 species